UGGCUCUCCCAUCGAUGAAGAACGCAGCGAAAUGCGAUAAGUAAUGUGAAUUGCAGAAUUCAGUGAAUCAUCGAAUCUUUGAACGCACCUUGCACCCUUUGGUAUUCCGAAGGGUAUGCCUGUUUGAGUGUCAUUAAAUUCUCAAAACGACGAUAUGUUGACUCUGUCGUUGGUUUGGAUCUGAGGGCUUUGUCGGACUCUUCAACGAGGUCGACUCCCUUUAAAAGCAUUAGCGGAUUGGCCACUCGUGGAUACGCCUCGAUUUGAUAAUAUCUAUGUCGUUGCGCUGAAGCGGUAGUCUGCUCCUAAUCGUCUUCGGACAAUUUACUUUGACAAUUUGACCUCAAAUCAGGUAGGACUACCCGCUGA
rnacentral:misc_RNA from 1 species